GGGCAUCGGUUUCAGGCACAAACUUCUGGUGGGUAGGAUAAUCUAAGGUUCAUUGUGGGAGAUACUAUUUACAAUAAAUGAGCGUAUGCAACCCAGUCCAUUCAACGUAUUACAGCACUCUCUAUACACAAUUUCGUGAUACAGUUAAUUUAUGACAUAACAAUCACUUCAGGACGCUCCAAGCUAUGAAAAUGGAAUAAUAUAUCAACUCACUCCACGAUAAAUAGCACCUGGACGAAGAUCAUCCAUGUUAUCAAUAUUUCUAUAUCCAUCAAACUCCCUUAGGCAUGACCAACCCCGGCGAGUCAGAAAAUCACGGUAGUCAUCUUCAGUGUAAAAUAUUUUUUCCUCUGUAUGCACUGGCAAGUGGUCCGAAUCAUCAUAUAAACACACUUUGACAACUAAUCCUUCAUCAAGUUGAAGAGUGUAAUUCCCAACAGGCAUGUCCCUGUCAAGACUACGAAUUAUCUGGUCUUCAUCCUCCAACCAAAAUGCACGUUUGGUUCUCAAUCUGAAAGCUGACUUGAUUGCCUCCUUGAUGGCAUCUGCACUGCCAUCAAUACCAAUUCUCCUUGUAUAGUCCCCAUACUUAACUGUUAUUACUCUUCCACCAAAUGACUGACUCUCAGCACCAUUUCCAGGAGUCUCCCUCCAAUUCCAGGGAGGAACUCCACCUGCUGCAACUGCAUCAGCUGCAGUGAUGGCAAGGGGAUGUCCAUCAUGGUCUAGACGUCUUUCAAGGUUGAGUGUUGCCCUGCCACUGGCUUCCACAGGUCCAAAAGAUAUACUUGUGUCAUCAAAGCCUUUAUCAGCAAAUUGCAUGUAGGAAUCAACUUUAGUAGGAGUGGGACUCUUAUACUGGGCAUNNUUUGCUUCUUUCCCUUAAUAUCUCGUCAAUCUCCUUAUAAUAAGACAUUUUGGCAGACCCACU
rnacentral:misc_RNA from 1 species